rnacentral:rRNA from 1 species
AUACAGCGAAACUGCGAAUGGCUCAUUAUAUAAGUUAUCGUUUAUUUGAUAGUACCUUACUACAUGGAUAACCGUGGUAAUUCUAGAGCUAAUACAUGCUAAAAAUCCCGACUUCGGAAGGGAUGUAUUUAUUAGAUUAAAAACCAAUGCCCUUCGGGGCUAACAGGUGAUUCAUAAUAACUUCUCGAAUCGCAUGGCCUUGUGCCGGCGAUGGUUCAUUCAAAUUUCUUCCCUAUCAACUUUCGAUGUUUGGGUAGUGGCCAAACAUGGUGGCAACGGGUAACGGAGGGUUAGGGCUCGACCCCGGAGAAGGAGCCUGAGAAACGGCUACUACAUCCAAGGAAGGCAGCAGGCGCGCAAAUUACCCAAUGCUGACUCAGCGAGGUAGUGACAAUAAAUACUGAUACAGGGCUCUUUUGGGUCUUGUAAUCGGAAUGAGUACAAUUUAAAUCCCUUAACGAGGAACAAUUGGAGGGCAAGUCUGGUGGACGUCCAGUCCCGAAGCUGGCGCCAGAGAGAGCGUCGUAGAGGACGCUAGUCGAGCAUCUGCCAGAUGGCGGGCUGAUGCCGGCAAGACAACCUGGUUCGGGGAAGGCUAACGGGGCCUCAGGGCCUACGCUAAUCCCGAGGGGAGCCCGGACGAGUGAACCGGCGGGCCCCUGUAGAGCGCGCAAAGGUGUCGGUCGUUACUGGUGGGUCAAACCUCAGGCGGCUUAAGGUACGUGCCAUCCCCCUCGAAAGAGGUGCCUUGUCCAGAAGCGCCCGUCACGCGAAUGGUCAAGGGCUGCCAGACCACUGGCAGGGGUUAAACAAGGAGGUCGCGAGUGCGCUUUGCAAGACGGCACUCGGACUGCUCCGAAGCCUAAGAAUGGCCAGCAGCCGCGGUAAUUCCAGCUCCAAUAGCGUAUAUUAAAGUUGUUGUGGUUAAAAAGCUCGUAGUUGAACCUUGGGCCUGGCUGGCCGGUCCGCCUCACCGCGUGUACUGGUCCGGCCGGGCCUUUCCCUCUGUGGAACCCCAUGCCCUUAACUGGGUGUGGCGGGGAAACAGGACUUUUACUUUGAAAAAAUUAGAGUGCUCCAGGCAGGCCUAUGCUCGAAUACAUUAGCAUGGAAUAAUAGAAUAGGACGUGUGGUUCUAUUUUGUUGGUUUCUAGGACCGCCGUAAUGAUUAAUAGGGACAGUCGGGGGCAUCAGUAUUCAAUUGUCAGAGGUGAAAUUCUUGGAUUUAUUGAAGACUAACUACUGCGAAAGCAUUUGCCAAGGAUGUUUUCAUUAAUCAGGAACGAAAGUUAGGGGAUCGAAGACGAUCAGAUACCGUCGUAGUCUUAACCAUAAACUAUGCCGACUAGGGAUCGGGCGAUGUUACUAUUUGACUCGCUCGGCACCUUACGAGAAAUCAAAGUGCUUGGGCUC